rnacentral:other from 2 species
AUUUUCCUGCUCGGUGCGUGACGGGCUCUAUUUAAACCCACAUCUCUCAAACGGGAUGCCAGAACUCACGGCGUGAACCGCAGGCCUCCCGGCCCCCCUCCGAGGUGCGGCUGGAAGUUGGAAGCGACGAAGCGCCGUGGAGGCAACCCACCUGCCAUUUUGUGCAGGUUUUAAGUGGGCUCGCACGGCCAGAGCGGGGCCCCC